UAACAAGGUUUCCGUAGGUGAACCUGCGGAAGGAUCAUUAUUGAAUAAACUUGAGCAGGCUGUUUGCUGGUCCUCCAGGACAAUGUGCACGCUUGUCAUCUUUAUCAUUUCUCCAACUGUGCACGUAUUGUAGACCGAGGGAUGGAAUUCGUUCCGAGUGGGGACUGCUGUGCUUCAAAAGAGGUCGGCUUUCCCUUUGAAGGUCUAUGUCUCUUGAACAAAAAAUGUGUUUAGAAUGUUGAAAUAUUAUUAUCAUAAACAACUUUCAGCAACGGAUCUCUUGGCUCUCGCAUCGAUGAAGAACGCAGCGAAAUGCGAUAAGUAAUGUGAAUUGCAGAAUUCAGUGAAUCAUCGAAUCUUUGAACGCAUCUUGCGCUCCUUGGUAUUCCGAGGAGCAUGCCUGUUUGAGUGUCAUGUAAACUCUCAAAACCACAUCGAAUUCAUUUGACUGUGGCUUUUGGACAUGGGGGCUUUUGCGGGCUUUUUGAGAAAGGUCUGCUCCCCUGAAAUGCAUCAGUGGUAUCUGGAGCGGAAACCGCCAGGUGUGAUAACAUCAUAUAUGCCUUUGGUAUGCCGUGCAUGGUGCUGCUUCCAAUGUGGGCAACCUUCUUGACAAACUUGACCUCAAAUCAGGUAGGACUACCCGCUGAACUUAAGCAUAUCAAUAAGCGGAGGAAAAGAAACUAACAAGGAUUCCCCUAGUAACUGCGAGUGAAGCGGGAAGAGCUCAAAUUUGAAAUC
rnacentral:rRNA from 1 species